rnacentral:tRNA from 1 species
GCGCGUAUAGUUUAGUGGUAGAAUAUUUGCGAGUCGAGAGAAUCUGGUGCAAUUCCAGAAUGGGCGAAUAAUUGGCGUCCAUUAGCUUAUUAGUAGAGCGGCGGCGUGGAGCAGAUGACCCUGGCUCGAUUCCAGGUGCGCGUA